GUCUGGAAAGUCGCGCAGUAAAGGGUGAUAGCCCCGUACACUAAAAUGCACAGGUCGUGAGUUCGAUGAGUAGGGCGGGACACGUGACAUCCUGUCUGAAUAUGGGGGGACCAUCCUCCAAGGCUAAAUACUCCUGACUGACCGAUAGUGAACCAGUACCGUGAGGGAAAGGCGAAAAGAACCCCGGCGAGGGGAGUGAAAUAGAACCUGAAACCGUGUACGUACAAGCAGUGGGAGCACCUUCGUGGUGUGACUGCGUACCUUUUGUAUAAUGGGUCAGCGACUUAUAUUUUGUAGCAAGGUUAACCGUAUAGGGGAGCCGUAGGGAAACCGAGUCUUAACUGGGCGACUAGUUGCAAGGUAUAGACCCGAAACCCGGUGAUCUAGCCAUGGGCAGGUUGAAGGUUGGGUAACACUAACUGGAGGACCGAACCGACUAAUGUUGAAAAAUUAGCGGAUGACUUGUGGCUGGGGGUGAAAGGCCAAUCAAACCGGGAGAUAGCUGGUUCUCCCCGAAAGCUAUUUAGGUAGCGCCUCGUGAACUCAUCUUCGGGGGUAGAGCACUGUUUCGGCUAGGGGGCCAUCCCGGCUUACCAAACCGAUGCAAACUCCGAAUACCGAAGAAUGUUAUCACGGGAGACACACGGCGGGUGCUAACGUCCGUCGUGAAGAGGGAAACAACCCAGACCGCCAGCUAAGGUCCCAAAGUCAUGGUUAAGUGGGAAACGAUGUGGGAAGGCAUAGACAGCCAGGAUGUUGGCUUAGAAGCAGCCAUCAUUUAAAGAAAGCGUAAUAGCUCACUGGUCGAGUCGGCCUGCGCGGAAGAUGUAACGGGGCUAAACCAUGCACCGAAGCUGCGGCAGCGACGCUUAGGCGUUGUUGGGUAGGGGAGCGUUCUGUAAGCCGUUGAAGGUGGCCUGUGAGGGUUGCUGGAGGUAUCAGAAGUGCGAAUGCUGACAUAAGUAACGAUAAAGCGGGUGAAAAGCCCGCUCGCCGGAAGACCAAGGGUUCCUGUCCAACGUUAAUCGGGGCAGGGUGAGUCGACCCCUAAGGCGAGGCUGAAAAGCGUAGUCGAUGGGAAACAGGUUAAUAUUCCUGUACUUGGUGUUACUGCGAAGGGGGGACGGAGAAGGCUAGGCUAGCCGGGCGACGGUUGUCCCGGUUUAAGCGUGUAGGGGGUGUGACCUGGUAAAUCCGGUUGCAUACUAACCCUGAGGCGUGAUGACGAUGCACUACGGUGCAGAAGUAGUUGAUGCCCUGCUUCCAGGAAAAUCCUCUAAGCUCCAGGUAACAUUAAAUCGUACCCCAAACCGACACAGGUGGUCAGGUAGAGAAUACCAAGGCGCUUGAGAGAACUCGGGUGAAGGAACUAGGCAAAAUGGUGCCGUAACUUCGGGAGAAGGCACGCUGGCAUGUAGGUGAAGUCCCUCGCGGAUGGAGCUGAAGCCAGUCGAAGAUACCAGCUGGCUGCAACUGUUUAAUAAAAACACAGCACUGUGCAAACACGAAAGUGGACGUAUACGGUGUGACGCCUGCCCGGUGCUGGAAGGUUAAUUGAUGGGGUCAGCGCAAGCGAAGCUCUUGAUCGAAGCCCCGGUAAACGGCGGCCGUAACUAUAACGGUCCUAAGGUAGCGAAAUUCCUUGUCGGGUAAGUUCCGACCUGCACGAAUGGCGUAAUGAUGGCCAGGCUGUCUCCACCCGAGACUCAGUGAAAUUGAACUCGCUGUGAAGAUGCAGUGUACCCGCGGCAAGACGGAAAGACCCCGUGAACCUUUACUAUAGCUUGACACUGAACAUUGAGCCUUGAUGUGUAGGAUAGGUGGGAGGCUUUGAAGCGUGGACGCCAGUCUGCGUGGAGCCAUCCUUGAAAUACCACCCUUUAAUGUUUGAUGUUCUAACUCGGCCCCGUAAUCCGGGGUGAGGACAGUGUCUGGUGGGUAGUUUGACUGGGGCGGUCUCCUCCCAAAGAGUAACGGAGGAGCACGAAGGUUAGCUAAUCACGGUCGGACAUCGUGAGGUUAGUGCAAAGGCAUAAGCUAGCUUGACUGCGAGAGUGACGGCUCGAGCAGGUACGAAAGUAGGUCUUAGUGAUCCGGUGGUUCUGAAUGGAAGGGCCAUCGCUCAACGGAUAAAAGGUACUCCGGGGAUAACAGGCUGAUACCGCCCAAGAGUUCAUAUCGACGGCGGUGUUUGGCACCUCGAUGUCGGCUCAUCACAUCCUGGGGCUGAAGUAGGUCCCAAGGGUAUGGCUGUUCGCCAUUUAAAGUGGUACGCGAGCUGGGUUUAGAACGUCGUGAGACAGUUCGGUCCCUAUCUGCCGUGGGCGUUGGAAGAUUGAGAGGGGUUGCUCCUAGUACGAGAGGACCGGAGUGAACGCACCACUGGUGUUCGGGUUGUCAUGCCAAUGGCAUUGCCCGGUAGCUAAGUGCGGAAAAGAUAAGCGCUGAAAGCAUCUAAGCGCGAAACUUGCCUCAAGAUGAGUCUUCCCUGGGCCUUCAAGGCCCCUGAAGGAACGUUUAAGACUAAGACGUUGAUAGGCUGGGUGUGUAAGUGCAGCGAUGCAUUGAGCUAACCAGUACUAAUGAUCCGUGAGGCUUAACCUUACAACACCGAAGGUGUUU
rnacentral:rRNA from 1 species